AUUGAUGCUUUGCAACUUAAAUUAAACAGACCCACUUCAAAAAUCCUAAAAAUUAUGAGUUACCAGCUUGCGUCGCACACUACAAAAUAGAAGUUUUCUAUUGUACUCCUUCAGAAAAGUUUCAGAUUCCAUUCUAUAAGCUAAAAAGAUACAUUUUUCUCUCCUUUCUGCUAUUUAUAGUUCCCCAAAACUUCACCAAAUUCCUUAGUUGGCAAUGUUAGUCGUUCUCACCGACUUGUUCUUCUUCUCGCCGACUUCUUCUUCUUCUCGUCUUUCUUAGUUUCAGACUUCAAGGGUUAAAACCACAGUUGGCAAGCUCGCUGGAGUUUACCGUUCAUAAUUGGUAAGUAGUCGAUUAUCAUCCAAUCUCGUCUUUUUGGCCUUAAACUUGGCUUAAAUGUACUAUAGCUUUCAACAAGCACUUGUUAGUUCACCGAUUGAGUUCGGUGAGCCGGCGUUUAGCUCUUCUUCUCACCAACCUAUCUUUAGCAUUUGAGUUAAUGACUCUGUAAUUUUUUGUGAGAUCUAGCAAAUUUAGUGAUUCGCCGAGUGCCUUUUGGUGAGCAUCAAUGUCACAAUUUUUUGCUCUUUUUCCAUUGUUUUAGCCUCUUUUUUGUGAUGCAUCCUUGCCUUUUAUUUGAGACUUCAUAGCUACAAAACACAAUAAAUAAUUAGAUACGGACUUAAAAAAAGGCAUUAGGACACUAAUUGUUGAAUUAAAAAGGCCUCAAAUGAGUCAAAAUCUUUGACGCAUCACAUCCUUUGAAGCUCAUGGAUAGAUGGAAUGACACUCUUCUUUUUGAAACAUUGUUGGAAUAUCCUCUUCCUUAAUAUUAUCAUCGUAGUGAAACAUUUCUUCAAUCUCUAAUAUAUCUUAUCAUCUUGUAAUAAAAUAAAGACCCCAACUUACUUAUUGAA
rnacentral:lncRNA from 1 species